rnacentral:rRNA from 1 species
AGCAAACAGGAUUAGAUACCCUGGUAGUCCACGCCGUAAACGAUGUCUACUUGGAGGUUGUGGCCUUGAGCCGUGGCUUUCGGAGCUAACGCGUUAAGUAGACCGCCUGGGGAGUACGGUCGCAAGAUUAAAACUCAAAUGAAUUGACGGGGGCCCGCACAAGCGGUGGAGCAUGUGGUUUAAUUCGAUGCAACGCGAAGAACCUUACCUACUCUUGACAUCCAGAGAAGCCAGCGGAGACGCAGGUGUGCCUUCGGGAACUCUGAGACAGGUGCUGCAUGGCUGUCGUCAGCUCGUGUUGUGAAAUGUUGGGUUAAGUCCCGCAACGAGCGCAACCCUUAUCCUUGUUUGCCAGCGAGUAAUGUCGGGAACUCCAGGGAGACUGCCGGUGAUAAACCGGAGGAAGGUGGGGACGACGUCAAGUCAUCAUGGCCCUUACGAGUAGGGCUACACACGUGCUACAAUGGCGCAUACAGAGGGCAGCAAGCUAGCGAUAGUGAGCGAAUCCCAAAAAGUGCGUCGUAGUCCGGAUUGGAGUCUGCAACU